rnacentral:rRNA from 1 species
CGCGGCCUAUCAGCUUGUUGGUGGGGUAAUGGCCUACCAAGGCGACGACGGGUAGCCGGCCUGAGAGGGCGACCGGCCACACUGGGACUGAGACACGGCCCAGACUCCUACGGGAGGCAGCAGUGGGGAAUAUUGCACAAUGGGCGGAAGCCUGAUGCAGCGACGCCGCGUGAGGGAUGAAGGCCUUCGGGUCGUAAACCUCUUUCAGCAGGGAAGAAGCGUGAGUGACGGUACCUGCAGAAGAAGCGCCGGCCAACUACGUGCCAGCAGCCGCGGUAAGACGUAGGGCGCGAGCGUUGUCCGGAUUUAUUGGGCGUAAAGAGCUCGUAGGCGGCUUGUCGCGUCGACUGUGAAAACCCGCGGCUCAACUGCGGGCUUGCAGCCGAUACGGGCAGGCUAGAGUUCGGUAGGGGAGACUGGAAUUCCUGGUGUAGCGGUGAAAUGCGCAGAUAUCAGGAGGAACACCGGUGGCGAAGGCGGGUCUCUGGGCCGAUACUGACGCUGAGGAGCGAAAGCGUGGGGAGCGAACAGGAUUAGAUACCCUGGUAGUCCACGCUGUAAACGUUGGGCGCUAGGUGUGGGGGGCCUCUCCGGUUCUCUGUGCCGCAGCUAACGCAUUAAGCGCCCCGCC